rnacentral:rRNA from 1 species
GCUUGCACCUGGUGGCGAGUGGCGAACGGGUGAGUAAUACAUCGGAACAUGUCCUGUAGUGGGGGAUAGCCCGGCGAAAGCCGGAUUAAUACCGCAUACGAUCUACGGAUGAAAGCGGGGGACCUUCGGGCCUCGCGCUAUAGGGUUGGCCGAUGGCUGAUUAGCUAGUUGGUGGGGUAAAGGCCCACCAAGGCGACGAUCAGUAGCUGGUCUGAGAGGACGACCAGCCACACUGGGACUGAGACACGGCCCAGACUCCUACGGGAGGCAGCAGUGGGGAAUUUUGGACAAUGGGCGAAAGCCUGAUCCAGCAAUGCCGCGUGUGUGAAGAAGGCCUUCGGGUUGUAAAGCACUUUUGUCCGGAAAGAAAUCCUGAGGGCUAAUAUCCUUCGGGGAUGACGGUACCGGAAGAAUAAGCACCGGCUAACUACGUGCCAGCAGCCGCGGUAAUACGUAGGGUGCGAGCGUUAAUCGGAAUUACUGGGCGUAAAGCGUGCGCAGGCGGUUUGUUAAGACCGAUGUGAAAUCCCCGGGCUCAACCUGGGAACUGCAUUGGUGACUGGCAAGCUAGAGUAUGGCAGAGGGGGGUAGAAUUCCACGUGUAGCAGUGAAAUGCGUAGAGAUGUGGAGGAAUACCGAUGGCGAAGGCAGCCCCCUGGGCCAAUACUGACGCUCAUGCACGAAAGCGUG